rnacentral:rRNA from 1 species
AGGACGAACGCUGGCGGCGUGCUUAACACAUGCAAGUCGAGCGAGGCUCUCCUUCGGGAGAUGUCCUAGCGGCGAACGGGUGAGUAACACGUGGGCAACCUGCCCCUAGCUCUGGGAUAACUCCGGGAAACCGGGGCUAAUACCGGAUACGACCUCGAGCGGCAUCUUUCGAGGUGGAAAGUUUUUCGGCUAGGGAUGGGCCCGCGGCCUAUCAGCUUGUUGGUGAGGUAACGGCCCACCAAGGCGACGACGGGUA